rnacentral:rRNA from 1 species
GACGAACGCUGGCGGCGUGCUUAACACAUGCAAGUCGAACGGAAAGGCCCUGCUUUUGUGGGGUGCUCGAGUGGCGAACGGGUGAGUAACACGUGAGUAACCUGCCCUUGACUUUGGGAUAACUUCAGGAAACUGGGGCUAAUACCGGAUAGGAGCUCCUGCUGCAUGGUGGGGGUUGGAAAGUUUCGGCGGUUGGGGAUGGACUCGCGGCUUAUCAGCUUGUUGGUGGGGUAGUGGCUUACCAAGGCCUUGACGGGUAGCCGGCCUGCGAGGGUGACCGGCCACAUUGGGCCUGAGAUACGGCCCAGCCUCCUACGGGAGGCAGCAGUGGGGAAUAUUGCACUGUGGGCGGAAGCCUGAUGCAGCAACGCCGCGUGCGGGAUGACGGCCUUCGGGUUGUAACCCGCUUUCGCCUGUGACGAAGCGUGAGUGACGGUAAUGGGUAAAGAAGCACCGGCUAACUACGUG